GUGGGGAAUCUUGCGCAAUGGGCGAAAGCCUGACGCAGCCAUGCCGCGUGAAUGAUGAAGGUCUUAGGAUUGUAAAAUUCUUUCACCGGGGACGAUAAUGACGGUACCCGGAGAAGAAGCUCCGGCUAACUUCGUGCCAGCAGCCGCGGUAAUACGAAGGGGGCUAGCGUUGCUCGGAAUUACUGGGCGUAAAGGGCGCGUAGGCGGACAGCUUAGUCAGAGGUGAAAGCCCAGGGCUCAACCUUGGAAUUACCUUUGAUACUGGCUGUCUUGAGUUUGGGAGAGGUGAGUGGAACUCCGAGUGUAGAGGUGAAAUUCGUAGAUAUUCGGAAGAACACCAGUGGCGAAGGCGACUCACUGGCCCAAUACUGACGCUGAGGCGCGAAAGCGUGGGGAGCAAACAGGAUUAGAAACCCUGGUAGUCC
rnacentral:rRNA from 1 species